GAUGGCCUAGGAGGAAAAGUGACUUGCCCAAGGCUACAGGCAAACAAAGAAGCUGGCAGCAUUGGUUCCAUUGUAAACCCAAAGGCGACAAGAAAGAUCAUUUCAUGGGAAACUUGCUCAUCUCAUCUUGUAGUAUUUAUUAUGAGCAUAAGCAAAUAGACCACCAUGAAGAUAAUUAUAGUUUAUGUGCCAACCAACAUCUGUUGCAGAGAAGAAGAGGUAGAGAAAUCCUAUAAUGAUCUUAAAAAGAUUAUCCAGAACAAGUCUACAUAUACUUUGAUACUUGGUGAUUGUAAUGCAGAAGUGGGUAAAAGUAAGAAGAGAUGAAAGAUAUCGGUUCAAAGAAACCUGGGAAGAUUUGUAUGAACUGUUGCAGAGUGAAGUGAUCCAAACCAGGAGAACAAUAAAAAUAACGUUGCAAAGACAAACAACUUUGAAAGACUUAGGAACUCUGAUCAAUGACCAACAAUCAUGCAAUCAUGCAAAGGACUAAUGAUGAUCUAUAUGAUUGAGAGGUGAGAGAUUCAAGAUGCAGGAUGCGACAUAUAUUUUUGGAUGUGGACAAUGUGGGGAUUUGCUUUGCUUGACUAUGCAUGUUUGUUACAAGGGUUUUGUUUUUCUUUUUCUUUUCCAUUGGUGGGGGAGGGGAAGAAUGGGAAGGAAAGAAAAUAAAUUCCCGUCUUUAAAUCUAUAAACUUAUGAGCCAUUGAUGCUGAAAAUGGGAAGUGAACAAAGAUAAAAAUAUUGACUUUGAUUAACUAAUAUAAAGCAGUCACCACAAUGAAAACGCCAAAAGAGUCUAGAAUGUUUCUUAAACUGCAAACUCUUGAUAUACUUGCCAGACACUUGGCAGCCAAGAGCAAUUUAGUUUACAAACUUAUUUGUAAAACACUACAUAGGAAGGUGGUGAAAGAUUAUGAUCAAUAUUGUUUCAUAAAACAGUAAAAUGCAAUAAAAAUAAAAACAUGUCUACAGAA